GGCCUACUGCUGUGUUCGACCAUUUUGGAAGCUAGCCCGGACCGAUGUUAAUAAUAGGGAUCAUUAUCCAACUGGCGACUGUCAUGCCUUCUUAGGAAGACAUGCAACCCUUUGGACGAUCCCACCUGUUGAGUCUCCGGAACGUGGCUCAUAGCCCCAAGGACGGCACAGCGGUUAUCCU
rnacentral:other from 1 species